CAGAUCCUGCAGAGUUUAUCAGGUCGUCCAGCUGUCUAACAUAUUCACGUCUAUUGUGUGAGUUGUAUGAUCCCGUCAUGAUGCGACUUGUACUCAUCUCCUUGCUGGUCGUGUUGGUGUCUGGGACUGUGAGAGCACAGAACGACGUAGACAACAACGGGUUUGAAGAAGUUGACCGUCGUGAUAUCUUCUACAUUCUAUUUUGCGAUGUGCACACUGAACAAAGGUGUAUGCUGGGGAAGAAAUCAUCUGAGGAGCCUUCGCAGAUUGAAUGAACUCAUUACAACCUACGCUUUGAUUCAGUUAAAGAACUACUAUCAGCCAACAUCUUCACUAC